UAUCACCUGUUGUUUAUCUCCAUGGCGACAGCAGAAAAAAACCUACCGACUGUCGGGUGUACGAGUCUCGGACAGAUUAUACCUAUGUCUUGAUCGUAAUCUACAUUUGCCUAGUUGCUUUCUUAUAUACGGCAAUUUGAGCAUGAUAAAUGUAACCUUCGGCAAAUAGGCAACAUUGCUGUCUGAUUAAAAAGCUUGGAGGCGAAAAACCAGAGCUCUCGACCCGGGUGGGAGGAUGAGUGGGCCGUCCGAGCAGAAGGUCAAAGGUGAAGGUCGAGAGCAGUACGAGGACGACUUUGAGAAAGAUCUGGAUUGGCUCAUCAGCGAGGAAGAGAGGAGUGACGGACAGCAGGACCCUGAGGAUGAGGAUGUCGAAGCCCAGAUUGAUAAAGAGCUGGAGGAGGAAGAGAGAUGGCCAUCACCCCUCGACACCGCGGCCGAGUCGGACAGAGACAGUGCUUUCGAUUCCCUCCCGCUGGCCCCGCCCCCUUCCACACCCCCGCCCCCUCCGGCUGAGCCCCUCCCCCUCCCCCUGGCAGAGGGGGAGGAGUCAGAGGAGGAGAAGCAGUACAUCCUGGAGAAGAUCCAGCAGGCCAACCAGGAGCUGAAGGCCCAGGCCGCCCCCGACCACAGCCGCCGACGCCGGCUGCAGUUCAAGGACUCGCUGGUGGACCUGGUGGUGCCGCCAGUGGAGUACGAGCAGGACAGCGCCCCCCAGGGGAGCAGCGAGGAGCAGCAGGAGGAGCAGGAGGAGGAGCGGGAGGAGGAGCAGGAGGUUGCUGGGAAGAUGUCAGUGCUGCAGAUCUCCCAGCAGGAGGAGGAGGGCGGGGAGGAGGAGAAGGAGGAGGAGGAGGAGGGAGGGGACUGGGCCGGCAGGCAGGGUCGGGUUCUGGUGGAGAAAGACGGGAAGUUUGACUUGGUGAGCCUGAGGGAGGUGGAGAGCCGGGGGCUGCUCCCGCCCCUGCCCUGUUCCUAUGGCGACGCCCCGCACUCCCCCCGCGGCCGAGGCUCCGCCUCCUCACCCAGACACGGCGCGGGCGUUCCCCUGACGACCGGGCCGGCGUACGCCCCAAAGCCCCCGCCCCCCGUCCGGAACCGGCCGAACUCGGCGGGCCGCGGCCAGCGCGGGGCAGGGAGGGGGUCCAAACGCAGGGUGCAGUCGGCCGGCAGCCCGUCCGCACACGCCACCUUCACCCUCUCACCUGAGCAGAAACACCUGCAGCUCAAACAGCAGCAGAGGAGAGAGAGGCUGUGCAGGGAGGAGGAGGAGCGGCGGCGCGAGGAGGAGGCGCAGAAGCGGCAGGAGAACGAGCUGGCCUUCCGGGCCUGGAUGCAGAGGAAGAGGGAGCAGCUGCAGGCGGAGCGGCGGGUGCUCCGGGCACAGGAGAUGGAGAAGACAAACGGCCAGAGGGAGAUGUGUGACCCUGAGGAGGCCUUUAAAUUCUGGCUGAAGAGCAAACAGCAGCAACAGAAGCAGGAGAAACGGCUGGAGGAACUGAAACGACUGGAGGAGGAGAGAUGCUACUACCUGCACAGUCAAGAGGAAUCAGAGCAAGCCUUCAGGCUGUGAGUACAGAGAGGAAUCAGAGCAAGCCUUCAAACUGUGAGUACAGAGAGGAAUCAGAGCAAGCCUUCAGGCUGUGAGUACAGAGAGGCAUCAGAGCAAGCCUCCAGGCUGAAUACAGGGAGGAAUCAGAGCAAGCCUUCAAACUGAGUACAGAGAGGAAUCAGAGCGAGCCUUCAGGCUGUGAGUACAGAGAGGAAUCAGAGCGAGCCUUCAGGCUGUGAGUACAGAGAGGAAUCAGAGCUAGCCUUCAGACUGAGUACAGAGAGGAAUCAGAGCAAGCCUUCAGGCUGUGAGUACAGAGAGGAAUCAGAGCUAGCCUUCAGGCUGUGAGUACAGAGAGGAAUCAGAGCUAGCCUUCAGACUGUGAGUACAGAGAGGAAUCAGAGCAAGCCUUCAGACUGUGAGUACAGAGAGGCAUCAGAGCGAGCCUUCAGACUGUGAGUACAGAGAGGAAUCAGAGCUAGCCUUCAGACUGUGAGUACAGAGAGGAAUCAGAGCAAGCCUUCAGACUGUGGCUGAAGCGGAAGCAUGCAGAGAAGCGGUUGGAGACGCGUGUGGCUCGUGAGCGCUCCCGCAGGCUGG